AAUAGGUUGGCAGAGUAGUGCAUUUGAUUUAGGUUCAAAUAAUGAAUUAUUCCACUUAUUG
rnacentral:tRNA from 1 species